rnacentral:rRNA from 1 species
AUUGAACGCUAGCGGGAUGCUUUACACAUGCAAGUCGAACGAGUGGCGGAGGGGUGAGGAAUUUAACGGAACGUGCCCCGUCGCGGGGGAUGACUACUAGAAAGUGUGGCUAAUACCGCAUAAUCUUGGAGCGGCCGUUCACGGUUUAGCUAGUUGGGGGGGUAAGGGCGGACCAAGGCGACGAUCCGUAGCUGGUUUGAGAGGACGACCAGCCACACUGGGACUGAGACACGGCCCAGACUCCUACGGGAGGCAGCAGGGGGGAAGUUUGGACAAUGGGGGAAACCCUGAGCCAGCCAUCCCGCGUGUAUGAGCAGGCCUUCGGGUUGUAAAGUACUUUUGGCAGAGAAGCGGUAUCUGCAGAAUAAGCACCGGCUAACUACGUGCCAGCAGCCGCGGUAAUUC